UACAGAGGGUGCGAGCGUUAGUCGGAAUUACUGGGCGUAAAGCGUGCGUAGACGGCUAUCUAAGUCGGGUGUGAAAGCCCCGGGCUCAACCUGGGAAUUGCAUUCGAGACUGAAUAGCUAGGGUGCGGUAGAGGGAAGCGGAAUUUCCGGUGUAGCGGUGAAAUGCGUAGAUAUCGGAAGGAACAUCAGUGGCGAAAGCGGCUUCCUGGACCAGCACCGACGUUCAGGCACGAAAGCGUGGGGAGCAAACAGG
rnacentral:rRNA from 1 species